GACGAACGCUGGCGGCGUGCUUAACACAUGCAAGUCGAACGGAAAGGCCCUGCUUUUGUGGGGUGCUCGAGUGGCGAACGGGUGAGUAACACGUGAGUAACCUGCCCUUGACUUUGGGAUAACUUCAGGAAACUGGGGCUAAUACCGGAUAGGAGCUCCUGCUGCAUGGUGGGGGUUGGAAAGUUUCGGCGGUUGGGGAUGGACUCGCGGCUUAUCAGCUUGUUGGUGGGGUAGUGGCUUACCAAGGCUUUGACGGGUAGCCGGCCUGAGAGGGUGACCGGCCAAAUUGGGACUGAGAAAAGGCCCAGAAUCCUACGGGAGGGAGGAGGGGGGAAAAUUGCACAAUGGGCGGAAGGCUGAUGGAGCAACGCCGCGGGGGGGAAGACGGCCUUCGGGUUGUAACCGCUUUCGCCUGUGACGAAGCGUGAGUGACGGUAAUGGGUAAAGAAGCACCGGCUAACUACGUG
rnacentral:rRNA from 1 species